rnacentral:tRNA from 1 species
UGGGAUAUAGCCAAGCGGUUCAAGGCACCGGCCUUUGAAGCCGGCAUCGCUGGUUCAAAUCCAGCUGUCCCAGCCA